UACGAAGGGGGCGAGCGUUGUUCGGAUUUACUGGGCGUAAAGGGCGCGCAGGCGGCUCAUUUUGUCAGGCGUGAAAGCCCCGGGCUUAACCUGGGACUGCGUUUGAUACGGAUGGGCUAGAGUUCGGGAGAGGAGAGUGGAAUUCCCAGUGUAGAGGUGAAAUUCGUAGAUAUUCGGCAAGAACACCAGUGGCGAAGGCGGCUCACUGGCCCGAUACUGACGCUGAGGUGCGAAAGCGUGGGGAGCGAACGAGG
rnacentral:rRNA from 1 species